rnacentral:misc_RNA from 1 species
GAUGAAGAACGUAGCGAAAUGCGAUAAGUAAUGCGAAUUGCAGAAUUCAGUGAAUCAUCGAAUCUUUGAACGCACAUUGCGCCCGCUAGUAUUCUGGCGGGCAUGCCUGUCUGAGCGUCAUUUCAACCCUCGCCCCCGGCUUUUGCUGGGAGCGGUGUUGGGGAUCGGCCGCCCGUCACUGGGAGGCCGGCCCCGAAAUAGAGUGGCGACCACGCCGUGUGCUCCUCUGCGUAGUAGUAAAUAACCUCGCAGGCGGACAGCGGUGCGGCCUGCCGUAAAACCCCCAACUCUUUCUGGUUGACCUCAGAUCAGGUAGGAAUACCCGCUGAACUUAAGCAUAUCAAUAAGCGGAGGA